UCAAACGAGGAAAGGCUUAUGGUGGAUACCUAGACACCCAGAGACAAGAAAGGGCGCAGUAAUCGACGAAAUACUUCGGGGAGUUGAAAAUAAGCAUAGACCCGGAGAUUCCCGAAUAGGGAAACCUUUCAAACUACUUCUGAAUCUAUGGGCUGGCAAGAGACAACCUGGCAAACUGAAACAUCUUAGUAGCUAGAGGAAAAGAAAGAAAAAACAAUUCCUGUAGUAGCAGCGAGCAAAAUAUGAGUAGCCUAAACCAUGAAAAUGGGGUAGUAGGAGAGUAAUACAAGCGUUGUGCUGCUAGGCGAAGAAACCCGAAUGCUGCACCCUAUAUGGAAAAAGUACAGUAGCCAAAAGCAUCACUAACUUACACUCUGACCUGAAUAGCAUAGGGCACGUGUAAUACCGUGUGAAUCAGGAAGGACCACCUUUCAAGGCUAAAUACUACUGGGUAAUCGACAGCAAAGUAGUACCAUAAGGGAAGGGUGAAAAAAACCCCCAUCAGGGAGUGAAAUAGAACAUGAAACCAUAAGCUCCCAAGCAGCGAGAGGAGCCAGGGCUCUGACUGCGUGCCUGUUGAAGAAUGAGCCGGCAACUCAUAGGCAGUGUCUUGGUUAAGGAAACCCACCAGAGCUGUAGCGAAAGUGAGUCUUCAUAGGGCAAUUUUCACUGCUUAUGGACCCAAACCUGGGUGAUCUAUUCAUGACCAGGAUGAAGCUUGGGUGAAACUAAGUGGAGGUCCAAACUGAUUGAUGUUGAAGAAUCAGCGAAUGAGUUGUGGUUAGGGGUGAAAUGCCACUCGAACCCAGAGAUAGCUGGUUUUCCCCAAAAUAUGUUGAGGCACAGCUGUUGACUGGACAUCCAGAGGUAAAGCACUAUUUUGGUGCGGGCCGCGAGAGCGGUACCAAAUUGAGGCAAACUUUGAAUACUAGGUAUGGCCUUAAAAAUAAAAAAGGGGGGUCAAAGUCGGCUAGUGAGACAAUAGGGGAUAAGAUUCAUCGUUAAGAGGUAAACAACCUGGAUCACCAGCUAAAGACCCUAAAUGAACACUCAAUGAUAAAGGAGGUAGAGGUGCAAAGACAGACAGGAGGUUUGCCUAGAAGCAGUCAUCCUUGAAAAAGUGCGUAAUAGCUCACUGAUCGAGCACUCUUGAGCCGAAGAUGAAUGGGGUUAAGCGAUCUGCCAAAGCUAUGAGGUGUAAAAAUACAUCAGUAGGGGAGCAUUCUGCCUUAUAGGGAAUCCUCCGCGCGAGUGAUGGUGGAUGAAGCGGAAGAGAGAAUGUCGGCUUGAGUAACGCAAACAUUGUUGAGAAUCCAAUGCCCCAAAAAACUAAGGGUUCCUCCGCAAGGUUCAUCUACGGAGGGUGAGUCAGGGCCUAAGAUCAGGACGAAAGGCAUAGUCGAUGGACAACAGGUGAAUAUUCCUGUACUACCCCUUGUUGGUCCCGAGGUACGAAGGAGGCUAGGUUAGCCAAAAGAUGUUUAUCGGUUCAAGAACGUAAGGUGUCCCUACCCUUUUUUCAGGGUAAGAAAGGGCAGAGAAAAUGCAUUGAGCCAAUGUUUGAAUACCAGGCGCUACGAUGCUGAAGUAACCUAUGCCAUACUCCCAAGAAAAGCUCGAACGACUUUGAGUAAGAGGGUACCUGUACCCAAAACCAACACAGGUAGGUAGGUAGAGAAUACCUAGGGGCGCGUGAAAACUCUCUCUAAGAAACUCAGCAAAAUAACCCCAUAACUUUGCGAGAAGAGGUUCCCCUUCACAUCAUAAAGGGGUCGCAGUGACCGGGCCCGAGCGACUGUUUACCAAAAGCACAGGUCUCCACAAAGUCGUAAGACCAUGUAUGGGGGCUGACGCCUGCCCAGUGCUGGAAGGUCAAGGAAGUUGGUAACCUAAUGACAGGGGAGACGAUGAUCGAAGCCUCGGUGAACAGCGGCUGUAACUAUAACGGCCCUAAGGUAGCAAAAUUCCUUUAUAGGUAAGUUUCGACCCGCACGAAAGGCGUAACAAUUUGGGCACAGUCUCGGAGAGAGGCUCAGUAAAAUAGACAUGUCUGUGAAGAUACAGACUACCUGCACCUGGAAAUAAAGACCCAAUGAAGUUUCACUAUUCCCUGGGAUUGGCUUUAGGCCUUUCCUGUGUAUCUUAGGUGGAAGGCGAAGAAGGCCUUCUUUCGGGGGGGCCGAGCCCUCAGUGAGAUACCACUCUGGAAGGGCUAGAAUUAUAACCUUAUAUCAGGACCUACGGGCCAAGGGUCAGUCUCAGGUACACAGUUUCUAUGGGGCGUAGGCCUUCCAAAAGGUAAAGGACGCGUGGAAAGGUUUUCUCGGGCCGGACGAAGAUUGGCCCUCGAGUGCAAAGGCAGAUGGAAGAUUGACUACAAGACCCACCCAUUGAGAAGGGACAAAAGUUAGCCUUAGUGAUCCAAUGGUGCCGAGUGGAAGGGCCUUCGCUCAAUGGAUAAAAUUUACUCUAGGGAUAACAGGCUGAUCUUCCCCAAGAGCUCACAUCGACGGAAAGGUUUGGCACCUCGAUGUCGAUUCUUCACCACCUGGGACUGUAGUAUGUUCCAAGGGUUGGGCUGUUCGCCCAUUAAAGCGGUACGUAAGCUGGGUUCAGAAUAUCGUGAGAUAGUUCAGUCUAUAUCCAUUAUGGGCAUUAGAGCAUUGAGAGGACCUUUCCCUAGUACGAGAGAACCGGGAAGGACGCACCUCUGGUAUACUAGUUAUCGUGCCCAUGGUAAACGCUGGGUAGCCAAGUACGGAGCGGAAAACUAAUGAAAGUAUCUAAGUAGUAAGCCCACCCCAAGAUGAGUGCUCUCCUAUUCUGACUUCCCCAAAGCUUCCGAUAGCACAGCCGAGACAGCGAUGGGUUUUCUGCCCCUGCGGGGAUGGAGCGACAAAUGUUUUUUUGAGAAUUCAAGAGAAGUUUAUGGAGAGAUGAGACAUUUAUCAUUAUGAGAGGUGUCAAGUGGAAGUGUAGUGAUGUAUGCAGCUGAGGCAUCCUAACAGAUCGGUAGACCUGAACCU
rnacentral:rRNA from 1 species